AGGGCUUGAGUUCACUGCUCUCCAGGAAAAACAUGUAAGCGUAGAAAAUGAAGCUUCUUCACAGUUAACAGCCCUAGAGGUGCAGGUUAAAAAUUUGAAGCAGGAGUUGGAUUCCUUACAGACCCAGAGAAAUGAACUGGAAUUGCAGCUUGAGAGGGAGAAACAAGAAUCAGCAGAAAGACUCUCUGAAAUCGAGAAUCAGAAAUUGGAGAAUGGUCAGUUAAGGGAGAAAAAGGUGGGGUUAGAGGAUCAAAUCUUUGAAUUAGAGAAAAAAUUGGCAGAAAGAGGGCUUGAGUUCACUGCUCUCCAGGAAAAACAUGUAAGCGCAGAGAAUGAAGCUUCUUCACAGUUAACAGCCCUGGAGGUGCAGGUUAAAAAUUUGAAGCAGGAGUUGGAUUCCUUACAGACCCAGAGAAACGAACUGGAGUUGCACCUCGAGAGAGAGAAACAAGAAUCAUCAGAAAGACUCUCUGAAAUGGAGAAUCAGAAAUUGGAGAAUGGUCAGUUAAGGGAGAAAAAGGUGGGGUUAGAGGAUCAAAUCUUUGAAUUAGAGAAAACAUUGGCAGAAAGAGGGCUUGAGUUCACUGCUCUCCAGGAGAAACAUGUAAGCGCAGAGAAUGAAGCUUCUUCACAGUUAACAGCCCUGGAGGUGCAGGUUAAAAAUUUGAAGCAGGAGUUGGAUUCCUUACAGACCCAGAGAAAUGAACUGGAAUUGCAGCUUGAGAGAGAGAAACAAGAAUCAUCAGAAAGACAUUCUGAAAUGGAGAAUCAGAAAUUGGAAAAUGGUCGGUUAAGGGAGGAAAAGGUGGGGUUAGAGGAUCAAAUCUUUGAAUUAGAGAAAAAAUUGGCAGAAAGAGGGCUUGAAUUCACUGCUCUCCAGGAAAAACAUGUAAGCGCAGAGAAUGAGGCUUCUUCACAGUUAACAGCUCUAGAGGUGCAGGUUAAAAAUUUGAAGCAAGAGUUGGAUUCCUUACAGACCCAGAGAAACGAACUGGAGUUGCACCUCGAGAGAGAGAAACAAGAAUCAUCAGAAAGACUCUCUGAAAUGGAGAAUCAGAAGUUGGAGAAUGGUCAGUUAAGGGAGGAAAAGGUGGGGUUGCAGGGUCAAAUCUUAGAAUUAGAGAAAACAUUGGCAGAAAGAGGGCUUG
rnacentral:lncRNA from 1 species